GCCAGACUCCUACGGGAGGCAGCAGUGGGGAAUAUUGCACAAUGGGGGAAACCCUGAUGCAGCGACGCCGCGUGAGCGAAGAAGUAUUUCGGUAUGUAAAGCUCUAUCAGCAGGGAAGAAAAAAAUGACGGUACCUGAGUAAGAAGCACCGGCUAACUACGUGCCAGCAGCCGCGGUAAUACGUAGGGGGCAAGCGUUAUCCGGAUUUACUGGGUGUAAAGGGGGCGCAGACGGCAAUGCAAGCCAGGAGUGAAAGCCCGGGGCCCAACCCCGGGACUGCUCUUGGAACUGCAUGGCUGGAGUACAGGAGGGGCAGGCGGAAUUCCUAGUGUAGCGGUGAAAUGCGUAGAUAUUAGGAGGAACACCGGUGGCGAAGGCGGCCUGCUGGACUGUGACUGACGUUGAGGCCCGAAGGCGUGGGGAGCAAACAGGAUUAGAUGCCCUCGUAC
rnacentral:rRNA from 1 species